rnacentral:rRNA from 1 species
UACGAAGGGGGCUAGCGUUGCUCGGAAUUACUGGGCGUAAAGGGCGCGUAGGCGGGUCGUUUAGUUAGAGGUGAAAGCCCAGGGCUCAACCCUGGAAUUGCCUUUAAUACUGGCGGCCUUGAGUAUGGCAGAGGUGUGUGGAACUCCGAGUGUAGAGGUGAAAUUCGUAGAUAUUCGGAAGAACACCAGUGGCGAAGGCGACACACUGGGCCAUUACUGACGCUGAGGCGCGAAAGCGUGGGGAGCAAACAG